rnacentral:rRNA from 1 species
CGUAGGCGGUUCGUUAAGUCCUGUGUGAAAUCCCCGGCUCAACCGGGGAAUGGCACAGGAAACUAGCGGGCUUGAGUUCGGGAGAGGGAAGCGGAAUUCCGGGUGUAGCGGUGAAAUGCGUAGAUAUCCGGAGGAACACCGGUGGCGAAGGCGGCUUCCUGGACCGACACUGACGCUGAGGCGCGAAAGCUAGGGGAGCAAACG